GGCCGCCCAUUUCCUCCCCCUUUCUUCCCCUUUCACUUUCUUUUCUUCUCCCACCCCACCGCCUCCUUAAAUGGCGCGUCAACCCCACACAACGCCCCAAAACCUCCCCAAGCACCGGUGUUCAGAAUCCACCCGAGGGCGUACCGCCGCGGUGCGUCCCAAAAUUCGGCUCGACCCGGUGCUUAAAUGGAUGCGUUGUGGAUGUUCCCCAAAAUUUCAAUUAGUCGUCACAGGGCGCAUUCCUGGGCCGUACGUGAGACGCGUCAUCGACAAGUAGUGGGGCCUGUUCGAAAAAAUGAUAUCAUGCCUCUACAGCACCACCUCGGUCCAGGUCGAAGACAACAUGACUAGGAUUAGAAGCGAGCCAAAGAGCACGACAGAAAUCUUGGUGAGGAUUUUUACCCAAGAGAUGGAUAUGACCGAUUAUCGAGAGCCCUUUCAGCCACGUUGCUACUAAUACCGCUAGUAAUCAAAUUCAGGUUAUUUUUUUUCUAUGAGCUUAUAAGUUCUUGGAUCUUAUUUUUUCAAACACUUUAAAAAAUCAUAUUAUAAAUUAUUUUAAAGAAUUUAUAAUUUCAGCCAAACACCCUCUUAACUGUCGACGCUACAUUAGUUAAAGCAGGAGCGAGUUUGUUGUAGUUAUCUCUAAUUCUACUCAACGGUGCACAUUAUAUUAA